GAUGAAGAACGUAGCGAAAUGCGAUAAGUAAUGUGAAUUGCAGAAUUCAGUGAAUCAUCGAAUCUUUGAACGCACAUUGCGCCCGCCAGUAUUAUGGCGGGCAUGCCUGUCUGAGCGUCAUUUCAACCCUCAUGCCCCUAGGGCGUGGUGUUGGGGAUCGGCCAAAGCCCGCGAGGGACGGCCGGCCCCUAAAUCUAGUGGCGGACCCGUCGUGGCCUCCUCUGCGAAGUAGUGAUAUUCCGCAUCGGAGAGCGAUGAGCCCCUGCCGUUAAACCCCCAACUUUCCAAGGUUGACCUCAGAUCAGGUAGGAAUACCCGCUGAACUUAAGCAUAUCAAUAAGCGGAGGA
rnacentral:misc_RNA from 1 species